rnacentral:rRNA from 1 species
AAUGAACGCUGGCGGCAGGCCUAACACAUGCAAGUCGAACGGAUCCUUCGGGAUUAGUGGCGGACGGGUGAGUAACGCGUGGGAACAUACCCUUUGGUACGGAAUAGCCUCGGGAAACUGGGAGUAAUACCGUAUGUGGUCGAGAGACGAAAGAUUUAUCGCCAAGGGAUUGGCCCGCGUUGGAUUAGGUGGUUGGUGGGGUAAUGGCCUACCAAGCCGACGAUCCAUAGCUGGUUUGAGAGGAUGAUCAGCCACACUGGGACUGAGACACGGCCCAGACUCCUACGGGAGGCAGCAGUGGAGAAUCUUAGACAAUGGGGGAAACCCUGAUCUAGCCAUGCCGCGUGAUCGAUGAAGGCCUUAGGGUUGUAAAGAUCUUUCAGGUGGGAAGAUAAUGACUGUACCACCAGAAGAAGCCCCGGCUAACUCCGUGCCAGCAGCCGCCGUAA